GCCUGGCUGGAUCAGUCAGUAGAGCAUGAGACUCUUAAUUUUAGGGACGUGGGUUUGAGCCCCACGUUUGGCG